UUCGUUUGGGAAAAUAUAUAUUGCUGAUGAUGUACGUGAUGUGUAAAGUACAAGGCAGAUAUCAGCAUGUUAUAUACAGAUAUGACUGAUGUUGUACGUGAUGUGUAAACUGCAAAUCAGGGGCGUGGUAGGCGAGCUGUAUAAGGCGCCAGGCAAGUGAUCCAGCCAGCUUAAGGUGCCGGUAUCGAGCCCACCUGUGACCAGGUG